rnacentral:rRNA from 1 species
AGCAGUCGCCGCGGUAAUACAGAGGGUGCAAGCGUUAAUCGGAAUUACUGGGCGUAAAGCGCGCGUAGGUGGUUUGUUAAGUUGGAUGUGAAAUCCCCGGGCUCAACCUGGGAACUGCAUCCAAAACUGGCAAGCUAGAGUAUGGUAGAGGGUGGUGGAAUUUCCUGUGUAGCGGUGAAAUGCGUAGAUAUAGGAAGGAACACCAGUGGCGAAGGCGACCACCUGGACUGAUACUGACACUGAGGUGCGAAAGCGUGGGGAGCAAACAGGAUUAGAUACCCCAGUAGUCCCUGUCUCUUAUAA